CAGUCGCCGCGGUAAUCCGUAGGGUGCGAGCGUUAAUCGGAAUUACUGGGCGUAAAGCGUGCGCAGGCGGUUAUAUAAGACAGAUGUGAAAUCCCCGGGCUCAACCUGGGACCUGCAUUUGUGACUGUAUAGCUAGAGUACGGUAGAGGGGGAUGGAAUUCCGCGUGUAGCAGUGAAAUGCGUAGAUAUGCAGAGGAACACCGAUGGCGAAGGCAAUCCCCUGGACCUGCACUGACGCUCAUGCACGAAAGCGUGGGGAGCAAACAGGAUUAGAUACCCGCGUAGUCCCUGUCUCUUAUAC
rnacentral:rRNA from 1 species